CCUAUGACAGAAACGCACAAAAAAGGUUAAGUUUAUUAUUUACCGCAUCUAGAAAGUUAGGACUCACACUACAGCACCACACGAUCUUUGCGCGCGGUGGGGAGAUGAUGAAUUUGUGGGAAAUAAGUUUGCUGGAAACAAACACACGUGUGCAAGGAAGCCAAGCCCGAGUAAUUAGCAAAUGUGUUAGGUAAACUAAUUACAGAUCCCAGCGAUGCCGUCACCGCAUCGAAACUGCGGUUAAAUUUCACAAAAUCCAGCCUCUGGUUUAAGAGCUCGCCAACCAACAUGGUUUUCUCCGAGGUCAAGGAGAGUGCAUUUAGUCUUUUUAUUCCGUGCUCGAGCGACUACGGGAAGGAUGAAACACGGUACUUGACCGAAGCUUAUUGAUGAGUCUCUUAGCUAGGGUUUAGCGCAUGUAGAGUAAUCAACGGAGUAAAAUUUGCGCGUUUAUGUGAAUAAUAUCUCGACUUCGUGACCGGUUUUCGAAGACGCGCGCCAACAUGGUGCUGUCUUUUACUGGGAAAUAUUGACAGACAUCGAGUUUAAAAAUCCCUCCCGCACGGUGACUAACAAUAGUGGGGGAGCAGAUAGUGAUCACUUAGCAAAUCUAAAAGAGCUCAUCAACGCUUGUAAAUUAGAUCGUCGCAUUCCCGCCCCCCAAAUCUUCCCAACAUCAUACAUUAUAGAUAACGCCAGAGUUAAGUGUAAAUGGUAGAGACCUUACAGAUUACGAAUCGACUACACGCUAGCAGAGAAGAUGUUGUUUAUGAGUCCUAAUAAUUUUGGUGACAGUAAAUUAGAAAAUGUCAGACUUCACCUCCAUUUCAGAUAUUUGCCCGUGGUUAUUUGCUGUAGUUUCCUGUGUGAAUUAACGUUUUACCUCACAUCAUAAAAUGUAAUGAAAAGAAACUCCGAGCAUAGUUGUUCUUUGUCUCACAUUCUUUUAUUUAGAUGCCCCAUUAAAAGGCACUUAAAAGAAGUAAUGUAAUCUUUAACGUUUGCCGAGAAACAGUUAGUUUAUUGCUAAGAAGUGGCGAAAGAAAGCUUUCAACGCGAGCCCCCGGAGAAACGUAAUAUUUGCUGCAUGUUGCUUCUCGGCCAAAGCAGUGACUCGCGCGCGUGCAAAGAAACAAAGGCAGUUAGAGAUUUAAGAGUUCAGACUUAGGUCAUGGCACACGAGCGAGUUAUUGUAUUGUAAAGCAGCCUUUUGAGAACUAAUUUGAAUAAAAAUCAAAGAAAUAUCAACAAGGUACGCAUAGAACAAGAAUACGGAAAUGGAGCAACCACGACCUCAGUCUUGGCAAUGUUGAGCGCAGAUCAACACCACAACUUUCUUUAUAAUAAUAUCGCUUUAUUUUGCUUUUGGCAAACUGCGAACAAAGACAGAAAGCGUUUUGCUUUGUCUGUUUUGUAUCGCGGUUGUUGUUCUGUACAUAGGGAAUUAGGUCAUCUUAAAGAGAGAUAAACAUCUCCAGAAAGAAAGCUCGCGUGGCAAGAUCGUACGCAGAACGUUGUUCCUUGACAACGAAAACUUGCAGAAAGCUGAUUUACCGAAAAGAAAGCUAUAAGAGCGCUUGCAACGAAUGGAAUUGGCACAUAAGAUCGUUUAAGGCGCUAAUUUGCCAGCAGUGAAGGGAUUCUUCCGCGUUCGAGGGAAAGCGCACAGCGAGAAGCAAGAGGAAGUAUCGAGACCAACAAAAGAACGAAUCAAGAAAGCGAUAUCGACCGUUAUAUAGCGUCUCUUUGAUAGAGCCGAAGGUUUAGUGCCGCGGCAAACAAAAAUACGGAUUCUUUUUUAGGUCUCCGAUGUUUUUACUGUACUUUACGAGUUUCCUGCAUUUUCGCGAAAAAUUGCAGUGAGCUCGCUGACCGCCGAAUUGGAAUUGACCCUUUCGGCAGGGUUUGUAAAUAAUUUGAAAAUUGUAAAUAUAAACAAACUUGAAUCUUUAUUCUGAUUUUGGGGAAAUCAUAUUAUCAAAGGAGGGGAUAGUCUUCCAAUACAUACGCGUGAAGACAAAAAAAACCGUGGUUCGAAUUACAAAAAAUCGGGAAAAGUGUAAAAAAUACACAGGGAAAUAGACUAAACAGUUGUCGUCUAGUUUCAGGGCUAAUUCUUAUUAUGUUUUUAAGGAUUUUUAAAAUAUAUUAGAAUUAAAAUGAACGAAAUACAAAACAUUGAAAUAAAAAUACAUGUUUUUUUUACAAAUACACAACUUAAGGUUUAAAAUGGUAAAUUAUAAUAAACCUGUGAGUUUUGAAAAUUAUGUGAAUGAUGGACGUUGCACAACUUUGUAAAGAUAUAAUAAAAUAAACAUUUCCAUUGCUUACUCCAGGUUAUCAGACCUCUCCACAGAAAAUCAAAAGAUUGGUGCAAAAAAGUCAAAUCACUCAAUUAAGAAUCCAAAGUCAAAUACAUGAAAAAUCUUUUUAUACGAAGUUUAUAUAUCAAAAGAAAAAAAAAACGUGAGUAUUUAUCGUUUCUGGGGUGCCAUUUUUUUUCAUCCUGAGUGUGAGGUUUGGGGAAUCAUUUUCACCGAGUUUGAAAAAAGGUAUUAAGACUUUGUUUUAGUCUUAAAAUGUUGAAUGAACACAGUAACAUGUGUGGCUUUCUAUAGCUCCCUCAAAACCAUACAGUGAAGAUUGCUUAAUUUGUACUCCGUUUGUAUGUUACGAUUACUUCAUUCAAGUUUUCGAGCUUCUAUUUGAGCUAUUAUUUGGACUUUGAGCUUCUAUUUACUUAAAGUAUUCUUCCAUCUACUAAAUCGGUCUAAAAACGAUUUAUUGAGUGGUCCCAGUAUAGAUAUGUGGUACACCAAAAUGUAACGUCGAAUAUACUUUUAAAAAACAGGUCUAUUUUAUUGAAAUUUUUACAAAAAAAACGUAACUUCGUAAAAAAAAUCCCGCCUAAUAGCCAAGAGUAAAAAAAAGGAACGUUGCUAACAUGAAAUCAUCAGCCCCCCCCCCCCCCCCCCCUCAAAAGUUAAAUGGCCCGUCCCUUAUUGAGAGGUGCUGUGAGGCAGGUUCAACCGAGUCUAGAAAUGAAAUAAAUGCUGGCUGAUGAUAGCGCUUUUUGCACGGGGCUUCUUGAGGAUUUCUAUGUGGUAUUGGUGUUCGUACACCAAUACCACCAAUACCACCCCGGGCCUCCCCCAGCGGCUGAAACGCUGGGGGAGGCACGGGGGAGAGAGAGCAAGGAAGGCGGCAGGUAUAGGCACGGAGUUGUCGAAAUGGACUAUGGCAGCUAAGGUCAUAGCAUGAGCCUUUGAGUCUCCCUCGCAACCAGACAGGCAGGCAGCUAGGCAGCGCUUGAGUGCGAAGACUCCAGAACGGCUGCAGGAUACUAACUUACUCGGAGAGUGACCACAAAGAAUGCUUGCAGCCGUAAUGAGCUAUAAUUCGUUCAAUUUGAAGUUAGAGGUAUAACGAUGACUCGAGGUGUUUCCCAAUCAGAACUGAUAUGAACUCUGGCGACGAUUCGGCGAAUGCGGGGCACGAUAACUCGACAAUGCAUUUUACCAGAUUCGAUAAAAGAUUUCUUAUCUCGCUUAAAACACCGUACAGUCUACGUACUCGUGAUAACAACUCCACAAAUGAAACCAAAGAAUUCAAGUAACUUUAAAGUGUUUGCCAGUGGCUGGAUAAUAUAAAAAGAGAACAAAUCAAUUGAGGUUUAUAAGAAAGAAAUUUGAUUUCAAUUUUAACUACCCGUGAAAAAACUACCACAUAUAAAACCAAAGAAUGGCAGGAAAUGUUUAGACAGUGGCUGAUUAUGAAAAGAGAAUAUAUCAUUAAAGGUUUCUAACAAAGCAAUUUGAUAACUUUCUUCUCCUAACGAGUCAAUGUAAACAGUGUGUUAGACUUGUUAUACGCGAUGUUGAAAAUGUCUUUGUUUGAUCGUUUAGAUUUAGAUACACUGGAUGGGUUAAUAACAGACAUGCAACUGUUAUCCAAGUUUGUAAAAAAAAUGCUAUUUUAUAUAUAGUUAUUGUUAGAAUUCAGGAGUUGUUUACAAGAGCAUUACGAACACUAGUGUUGCUAUUUACAAUAAAAUUUAGAAGCUAUGUCUUAGUGAUUUUAGCUUGGCGUUUAAAUUCAUUCCUGUCAAAAUUACAUCUGAAUUCGUAUCAAGUAUAUCAAAAUUAAAUACUUUACCUAAGAAAAACAAAAACAACAAUAAACCAACCAAAACUGUAUAUGCAUGGCGGGAGUCAUUAACACUUUCAAGUCUUAAUUUUCCUUGAAUGGAGAAUGGCUCAUUAGGAACUUUUGGGGGUAAGAAGACACCCAAUGUGAAAAAUAUAUAUAUUGGAUAGGUUUUAAGUGUGACAGCUGAAAGCCACGAUGCGCAAGCGCCUGGGCGAAGAGACAGCUUAUCGCUUUGCAUGACAACGAGGCAGACGACCAGGUGCCUUUAUGGAGUCACCGGGAUAACCGUGAUGGAAUUUCACGCAAAAUAACCUCGCCUAAAGACUUCCAAAACCCCACUAUACACAGAAAAGUGCUCCCAAGAGUCAUGGGCUGUCUAAUCACACUAGAAGAGGGGAGGAGGUGUAUCUUAUGGUUUGAUUCCCAUUAAAGGGUAGUUGUAGUAUUUGAUAAGCAUGCCACGUUAUAACAACAUGAAGAAACACGUGUUUUGGGAGAGUGUUGGCGCCCACGCUAAAGACUCUAUCGCAAUAUAAACACCGCUUUCUCUACACUUAUCAUGCCGGCAGGCGACUAGAGACUUCUUGGAUCGGUAGACGCUGUCAGCACAUCUAAAAUCGCACUCUUGGAGGCUUUAAGACGGUGGAAUAUCCCUGGUGUGCUUUAGGAAUUAGAGCCACUUGCGUUGGGUUCUACAUUAUAAUUAGCGUAGCGUUAAGUAGGAAAGAAACACCUUUUGGGAAAGGUGAGAAAAACCAUUAUAAUAUAGGAAAAUAGAUAUUCAUAAACCUUAUUCAAUGAAAAAUAACCUUAAGUAUAACUUUGAAAUAAACAUAGUAAGUAAA